rnacentral:rRNA from 1 species
CUCUUUCUUGAUUCGGUGGGUGGUGGUGCAUGGCCGUUCUUAGUUGGUGGAGCGAUUUGUCUGGUUAAUUCCGAUAACGAACGAGACUCUAGCCUGCUAAAUAGGUGACGGGUUUUAUCAAUUGAAACCGAAGGGAGUACGGAGGCGUUGGGAUCAGGUGUCGUCGUUUUCGGGUUUCGGUGUUUGAUAUUUUUCUUGCGGAUGCGAACCUCUCUCGUGGCUUGCUUGGUUUUUGGCUUCGGGUGUCGUGUGUGUCGUUUUCACGAAUGGCGCGCAUGGUGCUCGGGGUCUUGGGCUUUGAAAGUUGCGUUGGAAUCGUUUCGCGAGGGGAUAGCUAUAUCGUUAUUCGGGCGGCGGCAUCCCCGGCGAUACCUUCUGCUCUCGCGUCCGUCACGCAGUCUUCUUAGAGGGACAAGCGGCGUCCAGCCGCGUGACAGUGAGCAAUAACAGGUCUGUGAUGCCCUUAGAUGUCCUGGGCCGCACGCGCGCUACACUGAAGGAAUCAGCGUGUUUCACUCUCCCUGUCCGAAAGGACCGGGUAACCGCUGAACCUCCUUCGUGGUUGGGAUUGGGGACUGCAAUGAUCC